rnacentral:siRNA from 1 species
GAAAACCCGCAACGCUCGCAAAGG